GUGAGGAAUUUUCCGCAAUGGACGAAAGCCUGACGGAGCAAUGUCGCGUGAAGGAUGAAGGCCUAUGGGUUGUAAACUUCUUUUCUCAGAAAAGAAUUAUGACGGUAUCUGAGGAAUAAGCAUCGGCUAACUCUGUGCCAGCAGCCGCGGUAAGACAGAGGAUGCAAGCGUUAUCCGGAAUGAUUGGGCGUAAAGCGUCUGUAGGUUGUUUAAAAAGUAUUCUGUCAAAGAUUAGGGCUUAACCCUAGAUAGGCAGAAUAAAGUGUUAAGCUAGAGUUUGGUAGAGGCAGAGGGAAUUCCCGGUGGAGCGGUGAAAUGCGUAGAUAUCGGGAGGAACACCAAAGGCGAAGGCACUCUGCUGGGCCAAUACUAACACUGAGAGACGAAAGCGAGGGGAGCAAAUGGGAUUAGAUACCCUGGUAGUCC
rnacentral:rRNA from 1 species